UAACAUUUAGUUUAAAAGAAAAUAGAGAUUUGUGGUGUCUCAGAUAUUUAUUUUAAUGUUAU
rnacentral:tRNA from 1 species